rnacentral:rRNA from 1 species
GAUGAACGCUGGCGGCGUGCCUAAUACAUGCAAGUAGAACGCUGAAGAGAGGAGCUUGCUCUUCUUGGAUGAGUUGCGAACGGGUGAGUAACGCGUAGGUAACCUGCCUGGUAGCGGGGGAUAACUAUUGGAAACGAUAGCUAAUACCGCAUAAAAUUGAUUAUUGCAUGAUAAUUAAUUGAAAGAUGCAAUUGCAUCACUACUAGAUGGACCUGCGUUGUAUUAGCUAGUUGGUGAGGUAACGGCUCACCAAGGCGACGAUACAUAGCCGACCUGAGAGGGUGAUCGGCCACACUGGGACUGAGACACGGCCCAG